UCUCCGUUGGUGAACCAGCGGAGGGAUCGUUACCGAGUUUACAACUCCCAAACCCAAUGUGAACGUUACCAAACUGUUGCCUCGGCGGGGUCACGCCCCGGGUGCGUCGCAGCCCCGGAACCAGGCGCCCGCCGGAGGAACCAACCAAACUCUUUCUGUAGUCCCCUCGCGGACGUUAUUUCUUACAGCUCUGAGCAAAAAUUCAAAAUGAAUCAAAACUUUCAACAACGGAUCUCUUGGUUCUG
rnacentral:misc_RNA from 1 species